rnacentral:tRNA from 1 species
GGCUCGUUGGUCUAGGGGUAUGAUUUCUCGCGUUUGGGUGCGAGAGGUCCCGGGUUCAAAUCCCGGACGAGCCC